UACGGAGGGUGCAAACGUUGCUCGGAAUCAUUGGGCGUAAAGCGCACGUAGGCGGCCUAGCAAGUCGGGUGUGAAAUCCCUCGGCUUAACCGAGGAAGUGCAUUCGAAACUACUGGGCUUGAAUACUCAAGAGGGUCUCGGAAUUCCCGGUGUAGAGGUGAAAUUCGUAGAUAUCGGGAGGAACACCUGUGGCGAAGGCGGCCGACUGGGCCGACCCUGACGCUGAGGCGCGAAGGCGUGGGGAGCGAACGGG
rnacentral:rRNA from 1 species